GUCAUGGUGAGGAGGAUUGUGUGGAUCAGAUUGGCGAAGUGCAAUAAAGUCUGAAAUCUUCUAUCACAGCACCACAAAACCCAGUACGAAAAAAAGGAGCAAGGUACACACCAAAGUACAAAAGGAUAUUGUACAAGAGAGGAGCAACUCUCCAUGCCUAAGGUCAGUAAAAGGUAAGGAAAUAAUCCAUUGAUCAUUUCAGGAUUUCAUCUCCGGCUGCUCUUACUGGGGACAGUUGAAACAGUACAAACCAGCCAGAACUGCCAUUCUGUUGAAAUUACUUUGUGAACUGGAGAUCUGAGGGUGCCUUUCACAACUCAACCUUUUUUUUUUAUUCAGUGCCACCAUUUGAUGGUUUUUACAUCUUGAAAAUGGCCCACAGACUUUAUUUGGAUGACGAGUAAUAUCUUUAUCCCGCAGUUUCUCCCAUUCACAAAUCUUGGUGGCUAAAUGGUAAACGCGUGCUACAGCUGCAGCUGUACUUUGAUUUCAGAGUUCAAUGACUGACGUUAGCCUGUUACAGAUUAAACUCCAAUGGUUAGCAUAGUUGUUUGUGACUGUUAUCAUUGAUUUUAGGUGCAAUUCAACAUGUUCAAGUAAACUCACAACUUUAAUUUGUCAAAAUCCAGUCAAACAAGUCGGCUAGCACAUGUGUAGACCAUAGACUGUAUAUACUAUGGACAACUUGGUUCCACCCCUGCCAGUAUACAUAUUUGAAGCCAAAAAGCUCUCGGUAAUUCUGCGUUUUUCCGCCACUUCCUGGGCCAACAUUGCAAAGUACCGUUGUACCUAUUCCACCACUUGCCCAGUAGCAUCGUGCGCAUUCCGCGGUAGAGUCGCUGUGAUGAUGCUCAGCUCAAACAGCGUAUCCCCCGGGUGAGCUACGCAAUCUUCGUACGCCCAUAGGCUGUAUCAAGUGUCAAUCAUAUAAAACUUGAACCACAAACCAGGACUUGAGCACAAACCAGUCUUACAGUAACUACAUGUCAACAUUGCAACUGGGGGGGGGUAUAUUCUGUGUAAUAAAUUUCUAAAUUAAGCCUGUCGCCAGAGGGUGCUGUUCUCGGAGUGGCUUCACCCAUCGAGGAGGCAGACGGCGUCCAUUCUAUAUACAGUCUAUGGUGUAGACCCACAGUUUGUCUGUUUUUGUGUAAUAUCUUUCACGACUUCAAUCUUUUGAAAAAGUUUAGACCACAUGCUCUGUUGAGGACAACGUUGAAAAAAAAUGGUUUCAAAUCAUGAUCAGCUACGCGAUCUAUAAAUCAGUCUUUAGCCCUUUGGAUGGGGUGUGUUUGGAUUAAUGGUCUUAUUUUAGGAGGGCUUCUUUUCCCUCACUCUUUCCAGUAGCCAAAUGCUAGCAAAGUAACAGGAUAAAAUUCCCCCAUUAUAGUUUGACUUUGGACAUUUUUAGCAAGGGCUUGCUGAAAUACUCUACUUGUCUUAUUAUGUUCCUUAAUUCUGCCUAAAGAGAAAUCAACAAGCCUUCUUUAGCUAAAGAAAGCAUGCAAAUACUGUUGAACCUUUCUUCUUUCAAUGCUUUGACAAUAACACCCGAGCUAUAGUUUAAUUCAUUAGAUUAGCAUGCCAACAGUGUCAUUGUGAGCACCUUGUACCAUUAAAGCUAAAAGCUUUUUUGUGUUCACAGCUUCAAUGAGCUGCUAGCUUAUAUGGUGUGAAUUUGUAGUCUUUUCUAUUUUCAUGUAAUGUGUUCCUGUUUUCCUUCUUUGUUAACCACCAGCUCCUUUUAUCCAAAGAGACCAUCCGAAAAAUAUUUGAUUUCUUUCUUUUCAUCACAGACUGAAAAUAGAAGUGACGUUUGCAAUUUCCCAAGAGAAUAUCCGCAUAUGGCUCAUUUCCCGAUUGUGUUUCACGCCUCCUGUAUACAAUAUAAAUAAGGACGCUGACAACCAACAUCCUGACUGGGGCCCUGAGUUGUUAGAGAACUCAUCAAAAGUCAUCUUUUCCUGCAAGUCAGGAACUGAGAGGGUUAGAUACCUGAAUCUGUUUCAUUGAGCGCUGACAUUCAGAUUUAUGAGGUUGUGCUGUGUUAAAAGCCCGACGAUAGUAAAACAACAACAUCCUGAUGACACCGCUGCUUCUCUCCAGGUGUUCACAGACCACAUGCAAAGGCAGAGCAUCAGCUUUACGGCAGAAAUGCAAAUUACAGGGUAUCCAAAGGUCCUCACAAGCUGUUAGAAGCCAGUGGUCUGAUAUCAUUAAAUUUCACCUGGGAAGCUGGGAUUAUGCAUGACUUUUUAGAGAGCAAAAAUUCUCUGUGCAAGAUUUACCUCACAAGACAUAGCAGUGGGAGCACAUCAGUGCAUGGCAACCCAUGGUGUCAGCUGUUUAUUGUCGAACAGCAGUCAGCCAUCUUGCUGUCCUUGCUGUUUUUAUUCCUUACCUAGGGUGAAAUGCUGAUGUUUGUUCCUUCCAUUGCCUGGGAUAUACUUGUUCAAUCUGCAAUUCAAAUGCAAUUAUUUCCCCUGCUCUCUCUGUCAUUGGCAACUCGAUUAGCCAAUUACAUUUGUGGUAUCUUUUUUUUUAUUAUUUAAAUUGCUUGCAAGUGAGGGACAAAAUGUCAGUGGUUUCCAAUGAGAGAUAAUUUCAUUUUCAAAACAUAAUUGGAUGCGGGCAAGACUGUGUUCAGGUCAAAAUUGGAAAUUUGAAACCCUUGAAAUACAAUUUAAAACAACAAAGGAUGUCUUUGAGUCUUCUUUCAAACCCUUUAUUAACACCUCAAGCUAUUUGGUUCGAUUUCUUUUCUUAAAUGUUUCACUUUCAAUCAUUUCAGAGCAGCCUGCCUGCAGUUGAGGUGCAGAAAAUCAAACGAC
rnacentral:lncRNA from 1 species